GUGUGAAGAAGGUCUUCGGAUUGUAAAGCACUUUAAGUUGGGAGGAAGGGCAUUAACCUAAUACGUGAGUGUUUUGACGUUACCGACAGAAUAAGCACCGGCUAACUCUGUGCCAGCAGCCGCGGUAAUUA
rnacentral:rRNA from 1 species